rnacentral:lncRNA from 10 species
AAGGAAUUCUACACGCCGUGAAGAGCAAGUAUAAACAGUUUUUUGAAAAGCAUCCUUGCUUCAGUUAACAGAGGCCUGAAAAUCCAGGACAUCCUUAAAGAAUUUAAUCUUAAGGAUGCCAUCUUCACAGUUGCUAAUGCUUGGAACGACGUUGAUAAGUCAACAUUAACAAAUGCUUGGCAUAGACUUUGGGCUACAAUUAUGUUUGAAAGUGACCUAGCUGAUGAAGAUUUUGAAAGAGUUCAUGACUCUAAUGAGAAAACAAUGGUAGCAUAAUUCAUUACCUAUGCCAAAAGUUUAUCAGCCAAAAGUGUAAAUAAGUUAGAAGAAGCUAACAUUGAAGAAAGGGUUAACAUUGAUAAUGAUGAACCCAUUGUGCAUCCUAAGAGUGAUGGGGAAAUUGCUGAGAUGGUGUUAAAUGCAGAUCAAUAUGAAGAUGGUAGUAGUAAUGAUGAUGACAUUAUGAAUUUGGGUGAAAAAAAUCUCCAUAGAUCAUAUGGUGAAAAUGUGUGACCGAUUAAUUGCUGGCCUUGAACGAUGUACAUUUAUCAGUGAGCAAGAGCUGAUGACAAUUUACUCAAUUAAAGAGAAACUGCUUAGACAGAAACCUGUGUUAAGGAAGCAGGUGAAACUGGGAAAAGUCUUUAAUAAAGCUCUCUGUGGUAAUGCCGCUUCAUCUCUUGACAAUCCUGUUUCUGGCUCAUCAGAUGUCCAGCUCCAACCUGGUUUCAUAGGCAGUGGUAAUACUGGAACAACCUCUUCUCCAAGAUUCUCAGGCAAUCAAAGGCCCUGAGAAGAGAAGAUCA